UACGUAGGGGGCAAGCGUUGUCCGGAAUCAUUGGGCGUAAAGCGCACGUAGGCGGCUUAGCAAGUCGGAAGUGAAAUCCCACGGCUCAACCAUGGAAGUGCUUUCGAAACUGCUGAGCUUGAGUACAAAAGAGGAUCGCGGAAUUCCCGGUGUAGAGGUGAAAUUCGUAGAUAUCGGGAGGAACACCAGUGGCGAAGGCGGCGAUCUGGGUUGAUACUGACGCUGAGGUGCGAAAGCGUGGGGAGCAAACAGG
rnacentral:rRNA from 1 species